GUGAACAAAGCUGCCAUAAACAUGGCAGUGCAGAGUUGUUGGAGCUCCUGAUAUAUUCUGGUUAUGAAUCCCUUGUCAGAUGAAAAGAACAAUUUCCUAUCCAGAGAUAACCAGCUUAAGAGGUUAUUGAGAGGCUAUAUAUGUCUGUUGAGAUAAAAGAAUAUUUUCAUAAAGCUAUCAGCUCAAAUGCAUGGCUACCCUUAAGGCCUAGAAGAAUUAAGACAACAGACAUCUGGGACUCCCCAUUAAUAUAGGCAAGUGUUUAAGAAAAUGUAGUCACUAGAUGAUUUUGCCAAAUUAUAGCAAUUUAUAGUCUUGACUGCUUCUACAUAACCCAUUCAGUAUAUAUACACACACACACAUAUUAUGUUAACAGUAAGUAUAUAUUAACACAGUUAUAUCCAAAUAAAUUGCAGCAUAUUUCCACCAAAAAUUUUGUUACAAACUGGUUAAGGUAUGGAUUUCAUAGGAUGACAUCAGAAAAUAUCCUGUUAAUUAAAUAGCAGACACCUACUUUGUUGUUAAGCUAAAUGUUGAGGAAAACAGUUGAUCCCUAUUUUUCUUGAAUUAGCUUUUAUGCUAGUCUCUGAGAAUACCAAAA
rnacentral:lncRNA from 1 species